AGCCAGCAGUGCCAACUCUGGGAGGAGCCACCUCGUUCCUGUGAAUUUUCCACACCUGCUGGUAAUCAAGCUGUCGGUAUUUAGGUCCAGCAUUCUCAACCAUUCUUUGCCAGAACUUCAGCUAACCCUACUACUCACCAGACUGCCACGUUCCACCUCUGAAAAUCUUCUCCUCAGGACACUGGACCCCUCGACAACUUCACCGCCGUAGCUCUUGCUCAUCUCGCAUACCUGCCUGCCUCCCUGCCGCAGUAAUUGGAAUGACUUGGACUCACCCGGACCUUACCCCUCCAUGCCGUCUCUCCACCUGUGGCAAUGACUCUGUGCUCCCCGGUUCCCACCACUCAUCCUGGCUUUCCCUUUACCCCUACAUCACAGGAGUUCCAGUCAGAACUGUGCUCUAGUUAUUCACGUUUUCUGCCCAACUCAAGUUUUGCUUAGUGUUGUUUAGUAUUUCUGUCCUUGUGAUAGUUCACGUUUAUCUCAUUGUUCAUAGUUUCUAGUUAAAGCUCACUCAUUGUUAUAUUUCACUGGGCUUUAAAAAUAUUGUUUCUCAUGUCCACCUCAGCUUCAUCUGAAUUCUGCACUUGAGUCCCUUUUCUCUGAUUUGGCUGUUGGCCGUGACACCUGUCAGUAUGAACUUUAUGAAAACAGGAAUUCCCUCGGUACCAUUUCAUCACACAGAGCUUACUGCUGAUUAUGAGCGGGUGGCGCUGUCACUCAGUGUUCGUUGUCUCUGCCGUGGAGAAUCCCUUCCUGUUCUAACACUCCUGUUUUUGUAUCUGCAAAGCGAAUUAAAUUUAACUCAUAAGCUCUUAUUUCAUAGUGUAAUCGUCACAUGCUUCAUGUGUACUCACUCUAAUUUAUAGUCAAAGUAUUCAUUCACUGCGUCUUUAGGUACUCUGUAGCAGCAUGGCCUCUUCACCUGUCCCUCCUGUACUUUCCUCCUCAUUGUGUCAAAUGUUUAGUUAGUCCUCGGUCUCCUUUUGCAGUA